rnacentral:tmRNA from 1 species
GGGGGUGCACUGGUUUCGACGGGGGUCACGUAUGUUGGGGCAGCCAUUCGUAGGAAGUCUACACUACGUAAAAAGAGGACAUUUAAAGUAAACGCAGAAGACAAUUUUGCACUAGCAGCUUAAUGCUGCUUGUUUCCUACAGCUGACCCGCAGGCUGUAACGAAACACCGACACAGCGGGGAACGACUUGUGCUAAGCUUUGCCCACAAGCCGUAACUAUGAAGCUACUGAAACUGUAAGCCUGUUGCUGGGCGUAUGGUAGAGGGAAUGUCAAAACGGUAACUAUAAUGGUAGAGACCACGCCUUAUGGGCUUUCGGACAGGGGUUCGAUUCCCCUCACCUCCAUUU